rnacentral:lncRNA from 1 species
GCAAGUUGGGGGCGCACACCCUGGGGCAGGCUUGACCACGUAUCCUGGUUACUUUGAGAAAGGCCGGAGACAGGGGGACUGGAAGUCUCUCCACAUGGUCUGUACCUGCUCCACAUUAUUCCUGUUUAGCUGCUCAGCUUGCAUUCACUCCUACCUGGUGUUUCCGUCCAAAGGAUGUACCUUUCAAGAAGAAAAUCGAUUCCUGUUACUGGCUACCGAUUCUCCACAUCUGUAUGGAUUCUUAACCGCAUCCCCCACCUGACACUGUGCCAGUAUUCACAGUGCGCAUGUUCAGUAUCCACAGUGCGCAAGUUCGACCAUCUCCAAUCACAGAAGUGGCCCUAGGGUUAAACGCUCCUGGGACAGCCAAAACACACUCCCUUCUCAGUGUCUCACCAAGAUAACAUGAACAUUCAUACUUACUGUUUCUUUCUAAGUAUACUUCCCUUAAAGUGACACCAGGUCACUGUGAAAUGUUCUCAGUCCUCAUGCACGGUUGAGUGGGAAGACAGGAGGGAGACACAACAUUUUUUUGUUCAAAGAUCUAGUUUCUUCCAUCUUUAAUUUUUUGUUCAGAAUAACAUUUUUCUUAGAGAGUCCAGGAGA